AAAGACUCAAUUCCUGAAUUUCCGUAUCCAACGUUUGACCGUCCAUCUUAUUUAAAAAAGUUUAAAAGAUAAGUCACACAUAAAGUAUUAUUUAUAUUUUAUCAUCUAACAACAAUGAAAAUACUAAUUAUGAAAAUAAUUUAUAUAAGACGAACAGUCAAACGUUGGACACGUAAAGUC
rnacentral:pre_miRNA from 1 species